rnacentral:lncRNA from 1 species
UCCAUCCCUAGGGAGCCUGUUCUGAAGCUUAACCACUCUUUCAGUGAAAAAAAAAAAAUUAAUUGGUGCCAGAAAUCAUCUACCUGGAAAUAUUCAGACACUGCUAAUAAUAUAUGGAUUCUGUUGGAGAUAGAGUAUCAUACAAGUAUUGGAUGAAAUAUUUACCUAGCAAACAGCCUUGCUGCAACACUUCAAGCAACCUUGACUUGGUGUACAGAAUAUCAUCCCAUGAGGCAGUACUGAGACACAGCUAUUCAGAGGAGUGAGCCCUGCAAAGAAGAUUUUCCAACAUCACAGUAAGGUACUGUCAGAUAUGACCAAACAUAGAUUGCACUGCACAAAGCUAGAUCAUCUUUUCUUCCCAAGUCAUAG